AUGGGAGGCAUGGGUGGCUUCGGAGGUACCGUGGGCGGCUUAGAUGCCAUGGGUGGCUUUGGAGCUACCAUUGAAGGCAUGGGUGGCAUGAGUGCUUUUGGAGCACCCCCCGGCGCAAUGGCUGCCAUGGGAGGCAUGAGUUUUGCUUCUCUCAUGGGAGGCAUGGGUCCACCUCCGGCCGCCAUGGGCGGAAUGUCUUCCGGUGUGCCUCCUCACACACAUUCUCAUGAAGAUGCCGUUGAAGAUCUUGCCAACACCGUCGGAGCUUCACGUGAUGCGGUGCGCGAUGAGGAGGAGGAAGAAUCAUCUUCGGAGGAGGAAGAAUCGUCUUCCGAAGAUGAGGACGAAGACGAGGACGAGGCUUGA
rnacentral:rRNA from 1 species